GAGGCGAGACCGCGAGGUGGAGCAAAUCUCAAAAAGACCGUCCCAGUUCGGAUCGCAGGCUGCAACCCGCCUGCGUGAAGUUGGAAUCGCUAGUAAUCGCGGAUCAGCAUGCCGCGGUGAAUACGUUCCCGGGCCUUGUACACACCGCCCGUCACACCAUGGGAGCCGGUAAUACCCGAAGUCAGUAGCCUAACCGCAAGGGGGGCGCUGCCGAAGGUAGGAUUGGCGACUGGGGUGAAGUCGUAACAAGGUAGC
rnacentral:rRNA from 1 species